rnacentral:rRNA from 1 species
AUAAGCAAUUAUACAGCGAAACUGCGAAUGGCUCAUUAUAUAAGUUAUCGUUUAUUUGAUAGUACCUUACUACUUGGAUAACCGUGGUAAUUCUAGAGCUAAUACAUGCUAAAAAUCCCGACUUCGGAAGGGAUGUGUUUAUUAGAUUAAAAACCAAUGCCCUCCGGGGCUCCUUGGUGAUUCAUGAUAACCUCUCGAAUCGCACGGCCUUGCGCCGGCGAUGGUUCAUUCAAAUUUCUUCCCUAUCAACUUUCGAUGUUUGGGUCUUGGCCAAACAUGGUUGCAACGGGUAACGGAGGGUUAGGGCUCGACCCCGGAGAAGGAGCCUGAGAAACGGCUACUACAUCCAAGGAAGGCAGCAGGCGCGCAAAUUACCCAAUCCCGACACGGGGAGGUAGUGACAAUAAAUACUGAUACAGGGCUCUUUUGGGUCUUGUAAUUGGAAUGAGUACAAUUUAAACCCCUUAACGAGGAACAAUUGGAGGGCAAGUCUGGUGCCAGCAGCCGCGGUAAUUCCAGCU